rnacentral:rRNA from 1 species
AACGAACGCUGGCGGCAUGCCUAACACAUGCAAGUCGAACGAGACCUUCGGGUCUAGUGGCGCACGGGUGCGUAACGCGUGGGAACCUGCCCUUAGGUUCGGAAUAACUCCCCGAAAGGGGUGCUAAUACCGGAUAAUGUCUUCGGACCAAAGAUUUAUCGCCUUUGGAUGGGCCCGCGUUGGAUUAGCUAGUUGGUAGGGUAAAAGCCUACCAAGGCGACGAUCCAUAGCUGGUCUGAGAGGAUGAUCAGCCACACUGGGACUGAGACACGGCCCAGACUACUACGGGAGGGAGCAGUGGGGAAUAUUGGAAAAUGGGCGAAAGCCUGAUCCAGCAAUGCCGCGUGAGUGAUGAAGGCCUUAGGGUUGUAAAGCUCUUUUACCCGGGAUGAUAAUGACAGUACCGGGAGAAUAAGCGCCGGCUAACUCCGUG